rnacentral:lncRNA from 10 species
GGGGAGGGGAGAGGUCCCAGCGCUGCUGUCUGGCAGACCUUGGUUUCGGUGGGCACCAGAAGCGAGGCAGAUUGCUUGCUGCUGCAACUUCACGCGUGAGCUCCAGGCUCCCCUGGUUGGAAGGUGCCAGGGAGUGAGGCGGUUUUAAGAUUCCUUCAACAUCAGGAUUCCCGAUCAUCUCAUCAACCGACUUGUUAAGAAAACUGAGGCCCAGGGAAGUGGCUCACAAUUGUGUAGAAUUGUGAGGUGUCUUGACUGCUGGGCCAGGACUGAAGGACGUACGCCCUCUCCCGGAAUCGUCUCAGCUACAGAGAACCACCUUGCCCAAGGUCACCACCCUCUUGCCAAGGGGGUCACUUGGAUCUAAUGAUUGGUUAAUGCUGGGGGGAGGGGGUGUGCACAGGGUGUGGCUUCCAAGGGGAAUGUGGAUGCUGGAAUGAGGGAGGCAGCCACCUAGGCCGGUCAAGUCAGAGGCCCAGCAAGGAGAAAGCGAGCCAAGGCAAACGCCGACAGAAGAGAACGAUAAAUCCGCGGCGCACUCGGCAGAACGUACACCGCACCGCAUAAUUUAGCGGGGCAAUGCCGCCGGGAGUCCACGCCAAGUUAAUGGAAUAUUUCCUGUCUGGGGACUGUGCAACCCCCUGGUCUCCCAAUGCCUCAGUUACUGACGCUGCAAACAAGGCAGAUUGUCCCAGAGAUUAGAGCUCUCAGGCUUUCUCGGGCUUCAAUCAAUCAAAGGAACGUAAGGACCCCUCCCCUACAGAGAGAGCCGGACGUGAGCCAGAUUUUGUCCAGACUUACUUAUAUCUGCCCUGUGGGAUCCCGAUUCUGCAAGAUUUAAUAAACAAUGCCUCAACAGAUAGCAUUUAAUUUUCAUUCAAACGUUUCCAGGGAAGAAAGAGGUAAAACUCUUGCUUGUACCAGCACAACUGCCCGAAACCCGUGGGAUACCCAGUCUGAGGCAUGUUGCUAUCGACAGUCAUUUCACACAGCUGGCAGUUUUUUCUUUUCUGAUGGCCUAGCUCUCUUUACUCCACCGUAAAUGCAAACUAAGACGAAACUUGGGAUUUACCUCCGGUGCCUAAAUGCCAACCUGACACUGUCUCAUUGUCUCCUGAGCCCAGUAGGACGGUAAUUUGUGAAAUACGGAGCCUCUCACCUCAGCAGCGCUUCUUUCUAUUCCCACACAUAUGCACAUGCUAAAAUGGAAUGUGGUAACUAGCAUAAAAUAGGGUACAACAAUUGCUGCAAGAUUUGUUUUUUUGGCUGGGCACAGUGGCUCACGUCUGUAAUCCCAUCACUUUGGGAGGCUGAGGUGGGUGGAUCUUUUGAGGUCAGGAGUCUGAGACCAGCCUGACUAACAUGGUGAAACCCAGUCUCUACUAAAAAUACAAAAAAAAAAAAAAAAAAAUUAGCCAGGCAUGGUGACACACGCCUAUAGUCCCAGCUACUCUGGAGGCUGAACCAGCAGAAUUGCUUGAACCCAGGAGGCAGAGGUUGCAGUGAGCCAAUAUCGUGCCACUGCACUCCAGCCUGGGAGACAGAGCGAGACUCCCUCUCAAAAAAAAAAAAAGAUUUUUUUUUUCUAUUGUGACUUUUCUACUUCUGUCAUCACUGCUGAGCCAAGACAGACAUGUAAGAUCCCGUCAGCACCGUACUUGGAUGCUGCAUUCACAAUUGUGAAUUCCAACCGUAGCCAUGACAAAGGAGAGAGGAGAGCUACAAAGCACUCAAAGGGAUGUCCCC